rnacentral:rRNA from 1 species
UACGAAGGGGGCUAGCGUUGUUCGGAAUCACUGGGCGUAAAGGGCGCGUAGGCGGCUUUAUAAGUCGGGGGUGAAAGCCUGUGGCUCAACCACAGAAUUGCCUUCAAUACUGUAUGGCUUGAGACCGGAAGAGGUAAGUGGAACUGCGAGUGUAGAGGUGAAAUUCGUAGAUAUUCGCAAGAACACCAGUGGCGAAGGCGGCUUACUGGUCCGGUUCUGACGCUGAGGCGCGAAAGCGUGGGGGGCAAACAGG